rnacentral:ncRNA from 1 species
UAUGUUUUGGAUACGAGGAGAAGUAGCAUUUAAGGAAGAUUACAGAGAGUUAGUGGUCGCUGCGAACUAGCAUUUGCUUAUAUGUGAAUACACCUCUAUAAAGUUAUUCAACGUUUCAUUAAUGAACGUCUCAUUAAUAAAGUUUUUCAAGAGUACAUAAACUCUUGUUAAAGUAUGGUGGUACCGUGCAUAAGCGCCCUUACA